GUCUAAGUAUGAACUAAUCCAUACUAUGAAACUACGUAUGGCUUAUUAAAUCAAGUAUAGUUUCUUUGAUGGUACCAUACUACUCGGAUAACUGUAGUAAUUCUAGAGAUAAUACGUGCACCAAGUCCCAACUCUUUGGAAGGGAUGCAUUUCUUAGAUAAAAGGUUGGUGCGGGCUUGCCCGCUUCUCCGACGAAUCAUGAUAACAUUAUAUCAAUAAAGUAAUAUUGACACACUAUAUUUAUUAUUCAAUGAU
rfam:Picea glauca, whole genome shotgun sequence.